AUACGGAGGGUGCAAGCGUUGUUCGGAAUUAUUGGGCGUAAAGCGCGCGCAGGCGGCUUGCCAAGUCUGAUGUGAAAGCCCGGGGCUCAACCUCGGAACUGCAUUGGAAACGGGUAGGCUUGAGUAUGAGAGGGGUUUGUGGAAUUCCUGGUGUAGGGGUGAAAUCCGUAGAUAUCAGGAGGAACACCGGUGGCGAAGGCGACAAACUGGAUCAUUACUGACGCUGAGGUGCGAAAGCGUGGGGAGCAAACAGGAUUAGAAACCCUAGUAGUCC
rnacentral:rRNA from 1 species